GGCAGAGACAGGGCCAAGGCCCCUCAAACACCUCAGAUGGGGGCUCAGUCGGGGCCCCUUCCACAGACACAGCUCUGGCCCCUCAAGGUGGAUGGUGAGGCCGCUGCUCCUCCAGCUGCCUCCAUCUCAUGGCAGGCCAGAAGUGGAAAGGGUUUCAAACCCAAGCCUGUGUUCCUGUGUGUGUUCUACGCAGCAAGGCUUAAAAGUUUCAAGCUGGUCUGGAACUCAACCAGGUCCUCCAAAGGAAACCAAGGCAGGCACAGGAUGGGCGCAGGCUGGCUUGGCAGGCAAAUAUGCCGAUCCACCCAGAGCGCCCUGGGAGGCAGUGGGGUUGGCUCUGGCUCCUGUGAACUGCAGCCAGGCCUCUCCCGGUACCCAGGGUCCGGAAGGAGGGCUUCUACACAUUUUAUCACCCAGGGACUGCGAAGGCCUGGAGCCCUACCUUCCACCCAUUAACAAAGAAAGGGAUAGUUUCAGAACUGCUUUUAUUUGGAUAACUGACUGAAGGAGUCUCAUUUGUAACCAAGAUGGAAUUCACAGUAUGUUGUUACAUUCACACUUAAAAAAUAUAUCUCUAUGUACAGGAAUUUGCAAAUAGAUGUAAACAUACAUUACUUUCCAAGUACAUUUCUCCCCUUCUCCUUGGAGGAAAAAAAAAAGCCAUCCAACGAGGCAACCCCUUCAAAAUAAUUUUAAUACAAAGGAUGCAAACAUCUGUAAAUCAAAAAUGUGGUUCUUCUGACCCUUCUGGGUGUCAUGGGAGAGAACGUCAUUGAAUGAAAAUGACAACAGCUUGACUUCAGAUGGAAUUUGACUAUUUAAAAUUGAGUUUCCAGGAAAAGUAGGCACUGAUUUCUAGAAGGAAAUUAACUCCUUACCGAAGCUAUUUAUUGAGCCAAUAUGGCUGGUUAACAUCUUCACUAGUAUAAAGUAACCCAGUGCAGGACUCUCAGACAUUAGCUGAACCAAGUGUACACAGUCAGACUGCAAGGGCGUUGAUGAGGCUACUCUGAAAGCUGGCUGUCCCCGUCCUCUAGAUGUGAGGACCACCCUGAUUUUAUCCCAGGGGCCUGGUCCCUUCUUCCCAUACUGCAACUGUCGCGCAUUAUACAAGGUACCCUGCUGCUUACCCACUUCAACUACUCUGCAAG